rnacentral:tRNA from 1 species
CGGGCUGUAGUGUAAUGGUAGCACGAGUCCUUCGGGAGGAUUUAGUCAGGGUUCAAAUCCCUGCAGCCCGACCA